rnacentral:rRNA from 1 species
CCUACGGGUGGCAUCAGUGGGGAAUAUUGCACAAUGGGGGGAACCCUGAUGCAGCGACGCCGCGUGGGUGAAGGAGCGUUUCGGCGCGUAAAGCCCUAUCGGCAGGGAAGAAGGAGGAAGGUACCUGACGAAGAAGCCCCGGCUAACUACGUGCCAGCAGCCGCGGUAAUACGUAGGGGGCAAGCGGUAGUCGGAUUUACUGGGUGGAAAGGGGGCGCAGACGGUAGCGGAAGCCCGGAGUGAAAGCCCUGGGCCCAACCCCGGGACUGCUCUUGGAACUGCGCGGCUUGAGUGCAGGAGGGGAAGGCGGAAUUCCUGGUGUAGCGGUGAAAUGCGUAGAUAUCAGGAGGAACACCGGUGGCGAAGGCGGCCUGCUGGACUGCGACUGACGUUGAGGCCCGAAAGCGUGGGGAGCAAACAGGAUUAGAUACCCCUGUAGUC